AGCGGACAUUUUGUUUGUUUCUGUCAGGCUGCACCUGGCUGGGGCUCUGUAACGCUUGGGUGGGCCGCAGGUGGAGGUGUCGGGAAAGCGCGGAGGAGAUAUUGUCCCCAGUGCCCCGAGACGCGUCCUACGCUCUGCGGGGACGGAAGUGCCUGCGUCUCCGAUCGAGACGCCUGCCGCUCCCGGCAGCUGUCCGCGCCCACGGUCCUAUGGCGGAGCUAACGGACUCCGCGCGGGGCUGUGUCGUCUUUGAGGAUGUGUUUGUAUACUUCUCUCAGGAAGAAUGGGAGCUUCUUGAUGAUGCUCAGAGACUUUUGUACCAUGAUGUGAUGCUGGAGAACUUUGCACUUUUAGCCUCACUGGAUCACGUGCAGUCAUGCAACUAGAGCGAGGAGAAGAGCCCUGGGUGUAUGACCAGGUGGAUAUGACUUCAGCCACAGAAAGAGAGGCCCAGAGGGGACUUA
rnacentral:sRNA from 1 species